rnacentral:rRNA from 1 species
UACGUAGGCAGCGAGCGUUGUUCGGAAUUACUGGGCGUAAAGAGCUCGUAGGCGGCUCGGUAAGUCGGGUGUCAAAUCCUCAGGCUCAACCUGGGGCUCCACCCGAUACUGCUGUGGCUAGAGUCCGGUAGGGGAGCGUGGAAUUCCUGGUGUAGCGGUGAAAUGCGCAGAUAUCAGGAGGAACACCAGCGGCGAAGGCGGCGCUCUGGGCCGGAACUGACGCUGAGGAGCGAAAGCGUGGGUAGCAAACAGG